UACGUAGGUGGCAAGCGUUAUCCGGAAUUAUUGGGCGUAAAGCGCACGCAGGUGGCUUCUUAAGUCUGACGUGAAAGCUCCUGGCUUAACCGGGAGAGGUCGUUGGCAACUGGGAGGCUUGAGGCAAGGAGAGGGGCGUAGAAUUCCCGGUGUAGUGGUGGAAUGCGUAGAUAUCGGGGGGAAUACCAGAGGCGCAAGCGGCGCCCUGGCCUUGGCCUGACGCUCAGGUGCGAAAGCGUGGGGAGCGAACGGG
rnacentral:rRNA from 1 species